rnacentral:rRNA from 1 species
AACGAACGCUGGCGGCAUGCCUAACACAUGCAAGUCGAACGAGACCUUCGGGUUUAGUGGCGCACGGGUGCGUAACGCGUGGGAACCUGCCCUUAGGUUCGGAAUAACUCCCCGAAAGGGGUGCUAAUACCGGAUAAUGUCGUCGGACCAAAGAUUUAUCGCCUUUGGAUGGGCCCGCGUUGGAUUAGCUAGUUGGUAGGGUAAAAGCCUACCAAGGCGACGAUCCAUAGCUGGUCUGAGAGGAUGAUCAGCCACACUGGGACUGAGACACGGCCCAGACUCCUACGGGAGGCAGCAGUGGGGAAUAUUGGACAAUGGGCGAAAGCCUGAUCCAGCAAUGCCGCGUGAGUGAUGAAGGCCUUAGGGUUGUAAAGCUCUUUUACCCGGGAAGAUAAUGACAGUACCGGGAGAAUAAGCCCCGGCUAACUCCGUG